GGCCACAUUAUUGUCGUAGACUAUACUGAUUUCGUGUCAUGAGAACUUUACCACAUUGUAAAACACUCUCUCACACACACACAUUAUAUAACAAUUGCCUCUCUCCUCCACAUUAUAAAACUCCAUGUGGCUUUGCACAAGAGGUGAAGAGAAUCUAAAAAACCGCUAGCGUGUGCUACUUAGCGUGUAUAAUAAUAAUUAGCGAUAUGUAAUCUCAUUUUUGUCUCAAAUCAAGUGCUUCUCAUGUAAUCAAUCUAAUCCGUCAACACUCGAUCCGACAUCUCCUUUCUUAGUGUUGUGUGCUUCUUUUUAUCGUUGUGUUCCACUAACU
rnacentral:lncRNA from 1 species